ACUACCAGCUCUGGGCUGCAAGGGGUGUGUGUGGGGGUCAGGCCGGGGGAUUGAGUGUCCCGUCUGUGUUCCUGCUUCUGAAUUCUUCCUUGCGCUCUGGCCUCAAGCUUCUAGUGUCCUUUCAUCCUUGACAAGUCCUCCUGGAAGGUAUCACUCCAAGUGAUGGACACCACAGAAAUGGGAAGCUGCCUACCACGUGGGGAGCAACUUGGCAUUGAAAGGCCCUGGCAGAAAGCACAGACUCCAGUUUGGGUACUUGGCUGUGUGACUACACAAGCUUUAGGAGCUCCGCUAUGUGGAUUUUUCUGGGAAACCAGAAGCUGUGGGCCUCAGCAAGCAAAGAAUUCCUGGGAAGGAGAGCAAACCCACUGGACCAUCGGUAAGAAGCAGCUUGGAAACCAGAGCAGAGCAGUCAGUGUGGUGCUUACCG